ACGUUACGCUUUGUUAAACGUAAAUAAUUAACACGAAUGCACUCGUAAAGCAACCAGUCUAGGAAUAUGAAAGAAUACCUUCAGUUUGUGGCCUUAGCUGGGCGUGACGUUAUGCAGAGGAUGCAGGUAGAUUGAUAACACUGACCUGACCACACACGCACUGUUGUGGCAUAAUAAUUGAAUAUUCGAGAGAAGUUGUUGUUGGUGCUGUUGGAUCAAGUUAAUAAUAGAAUGAUUUUCUUAUAAGGACUUUACUUUUUGAUGUGGACUGAUCGUUGACGAAAGCUGGUAUGACUGGUUUCAAUUACGUAGGUCUUUAUUUGCUCAAUUAAAGUUUGGAUAUUUAUUUGGGUUACGGUUUGCUUGCGGAGUUUGGAGAACCGUGAACUCGACUAAGGUUGUUACAAGAAUGCCAGCAAUUUUAUAUGAUUAACGUUUCAUUCAAUUGAACGAUUAAAUAUCAAUGAAUGUAACAACUUAACGAUAUAUAAAGUUUUUUACAACAUGAUGUUUUCAAAUUUAAUUUACAAUAAAUUUAAAAAUAUCAGAAUAAAGACCAGUAGGAACACGCAAUGAUUAAUAUUAUAAUAAUAAUUACGGAACAAAAUGAAAUUGAUGAUGGAUUGGUUCCCCGUUCAAGCAUUUCUGAAUCAAAGUUUUUUUAAGAAAGGGAUAGAAUAUGCCCCAAUCGCCUUUUUAAGAGAGUAAUUUUGAUUUUCAUGCAAUUUUGUUAACCCAAACGUAAAACAGAUUGCGGUUAUGGGAAGACAAUGUCGACAAGCAAGUUCUAGUACCAAAAUAAUAAAUAUCUAUCAAAAUAUCUAAAACCACAAGUUUUGUAAACAUUUUAUUUAUACACAAGAAUUUCUUAUACUUUGUUUAUAAGUUUUAAAUAUUUUAGGUUAAAAUCGAUAAUAUUAUAAACUAUAUUAUUAAUCUAUAACAACAAUAUUUACAACUCUCUUCGUUUAAACACAUAAAAAAAUAUACAAUAGUAUAGGUACUUCUUUAUGCAAUAGAUAAAUUUUCUAUCCAAUAAUAAAUAAUUGAGUUUUGUUACA